rnacentral:rRNA from 1 species
CAAACUGGAGAUGGCGACCGGCGCACGGGUGAGUAACACGUAUCCAACCUGCCGAUAACUCGGGGAUAGCCUUUCGAAAGAAAGAUUAAUACCCGAUGGCAUAAUAGAACCGCAUGGUUUGAUUAUUAAAGAAUUUCGGUUAUCGAUGGGAAUGCGUUCCAUUAGGCAGUUGGUGGGGUAACGGCCCACCAAACCUUCGAUGGAUAGGGGUUCUGAGAGGAAGGUCCCCCACAUUGGAACUGAGACACGGUCCAAACUCCUACGGGAGGCAGCAUG